rnacentral:rRNA from 1 species
GACGAACGCUGGCGGCGUGCUUAACACAUGCAAGUCGAACGGAAAGGCCCUUCGGGGUACUCGAGUGGCGAACGGGUGAGUAACACGUGGGUGAUCUGCCCUGCACUUCGGGAUAAGCCUGGGAAACUGGGUCUAAUACCGGAUAGGACUACGGCCUGCAUGGGUUGUGGUGGGAAGCUUUUGCGGUGUGGGAUGGGCCCGCGGCCUAUCAGCUUGUUGGUGGGGUGAUGGCCUACCAAGGCGACGACGGGUAGCCGGCCUGAGAGGGUGUCCGGCCACACUGGGACUGAGAUACGGCCCAGACUCCUACGGGAGGCAGCAGUGGGGAAUAUUGCACAAUGGGCGCAAGCCUGAUGCAGCGACGCCGCGUGGGGGAUGACGGCCUUCGGGUUGUAAACCCCUUUCAGCACAGACGAAGCGCAAGUGACGGUAUGUGCAGAAGAAGCACCGGCCAACUACGUGC